UCUAGCUCUCUUCUUCUCUCUUACUGAACACAGCCGCCAUUGUUUCUCCGCAAAUUCUUCUCCUUCUUCUCCUUUUCUGCUAGAUCUGCUCUCCGAUCGUCAUCGCAUUCAAUGCUCCUCCGUUUUCUGCGCCAAUUACCGUGAUUCCAGUGAACCGACUCUUCUUCCUCUUCACUCUUUUUCAAUAUGAUUAUCUCUAGUCCCGUGACCCCUGGUCAGGUUUCCUGCCUGCUUGGAAUUAUUCCUGUCGUCGCCGCAUGGAUAUAUUCGGAGAUAUUGGAGUAUAGGAAAAAUUCAUUCACUUCCAAAGUUAGGACUUCGGAUGUCAAUUUAGUUGAAAUGGGUAGUGGUGCUGCUAAAGAAGAGGAUACGGUAGUUUAUUAGAGGGGGGAGCCUUGCAGACAGGCUCUCCAAAAGCUCGAAGUUCCACAUCACCAA